rnacentral:lncRNA from 1 species
UGGCCUCUUGUGUUUUAUGAGCAUGACAAAAAAUGAAUGUUUGCCUAGAUCUACAAUGGAAUUUCAUCAAUGUAGCGGGGUUUUCGUUACUUUUAGGUUUAUUGACUAAACCAAAAGUCAACAUACAAUUCGAGUCGCCACCGCACUUUUAUUUGUCCAAAGGAAAGGUGUCAUACCCCGAUUUUGGUCCUGAAUUUUUUUUCUUUUUUUCAUUUUUUAUUUGGCACUUGGCCUAAAGUUCAUUUGCAUACAUUCAUGACCAAAGGCAACCGUCUAUUCCCAAAUCCAUAUUUUGUGAUAAACAUUGGUUAUUAUUUAGCUUUUUG